ACCCUGACUGGGGGGGUCUCCUUAGGACCCCCUCACAUCACCCGGGGCCCCAGCCUCUCCGCAACCUCCUCUCCAUCGCCCAGGCUUGGCCUCGGGAAGUACACUGCCUCGGUGGGCUGGGGUGGGCCCCGGAGGAAGGAGCAGCUUGACUCGGAGUUAACAGGAAGAAGUUGAGCAGGCGGGGCAGGGGCGAGAACCACCAACUGCGCGCCUGCCUGGGUGGGGUUUGGGGUCAGGAGAGGAUGUGACUGUAAAGCCAGGAAGCUGCAGGGAAAGUUCUGAUUAAAACACACACACAAACAAAAGGCAGGUCCUCACUGUGCUUGGCGAUGAGCUCUGGGGCUGCGGUGCUGCGGGCCGGACCUGGGGCCCAGCUGAGCACACAGUUUGCUCCCAAGCAAGCAUCAAUGACCUCGACGACCGCCAUCCCCCCCCAGGAGGAGAGAGCCGGAACCAGCAGCCUCUGACCCCUCCUGGUGUCCUGACUGACCGGCCACAGAGACAGAGAGCCCCGGGGGACCAGUCUGCUCAGCCAAGGAGCCCUGAGGAGCCGGGGGGGUGGCACCAGUGCCCAGCCUGCCCCGAGAAGGCCCCGGCCAGACCAUGGCAGGUGUCUGUGACACGGCCCCCAACUUUCUCUCCCCGUCUGGAAACCAGGCCCUGGAGCCUGCCCUGGGCAGUGCAGUCUCCCUGAACUGCACGGCCUGGGUGGUCUCUGGGCCCCACUGUCCCCUGCCCUCAGUCCAGUGGCUGAAAGAUGGGCUGCCGCUGGGCAAUGGAAGCCACUGUGGCCUCCAUGAAGACUCCCGGAUCAAGGCCAACUCAUCAGAGGUGCUUGUGUCCAGUGUUCUGGGGGUCAACCUGACCAGUGCUGAGGACUAUGGGGUCUUCACCUGCUCCAUCCGGAAUGUCAGCUCCUCCUCCUUCACUCUUUGGAGAGCUGGCCCAGCUGGCCACCUGGCCGCAGUGCUGGCCUCACUCCUGGUCCUGCUGGCCCUGCUCCUGGCGGCCCUGCUCUAUGUGAAGUGUCGACUGAAUGUGCUGCUCUGGUACCAAGACGCCUAUGGGGAGCUGGAGAUGAACGACGGGAAACUCUACGACGCCUACGUCUCCUACAGCGACAGCCCCGAGGACCGGAAGUUCGUGAACUUCAUCCUGAAGCCACAGCUAGAGCGGCGUCGGGGCUACAAGCUCUUCCUGGAUGACCGCGACCUCCUGCCACGCGCGGAGCCCUCCGCCGAUCUCCUGGUGAACCUGAGCCGCUGUCGACGCCUCAUCGUGGUGCUGUCGGAAGCAUUCCUGGGCCGGGCCUGGUGCAGCCACAGCUUCCGGGAGGGCUUGUGCCGGCUACUGGAGCUCACGCGCAGGCCCAUAUUCAUCACCUUCGAGGGCCAGAGGCGCGACCCCGUGCACCCCGCGCUCCGCCUGCUGCGCCAGCACCGCCACCUGGUGACCCUGCUGCUCUGGAAGCCCGGCUCCGUGGCGCCUUCUUCAGAGUUUUGGAAGGAGCUGCAGCUGGCACUGCCACGGAAGGUGCGGCACAGAGCCCUGGAGGGAGACCCCCAGACCCGGCUGCAGGGUGACAAGGACCCCAUGCUGAUCGUGCAAGGCCACCUGCCCGAGGGUCGCACCCUGCACCUGGAGCUGGACCCCGACCCUGAGGGGGACCUGGGUAUGCCCCCCUGGUCCCACCCCGACCCUGAGAAGCUUGGCCUGGGGCGGAGGGGGUGCACGGGGCUGAGGAGCCCAGAAAGGGGUCCAGGUGGCGGGGACUUCCUCCCUGCAGCCCAUCGGUGGGCUUGACCCCCAGCACACCCUCACUGCCUCCUUCCCGGAGGCACGCGGACCCAAGGCCUGCCUGGGAAUCUCCAGGACCUCAGAUGCCACUAUGCAGGAGGGUGUCCGAGGGCCUAUCUUUGGGGAGCCAUCAGCUCCACCCCAUGCAAGCGGGGUCGCCCUUGGAGAGGGCCGGGGCAGUGAGGUGGACGUCUCGGACCUCGGCUCCCGCAACUACAGUGCCCGCACGGACUUCUACUG